GAGAGCAUAUAAAUAAUCAAGAGAUUCAAUAAGAGAGAGUAUCAAAAGAUUACAUUGUUUCCCCCAACAACAAUAGGGUUUAGUUCACCAUAGACAUGGUGAAACUAGAUGAAAAAUGGAAGAAGAAUGGAAAAGCAAACCCUAGAAAAGAUGAAAAGGAGCCUAAGCAUCCAAGAGAUCCUCUCCAGAGAGAAAAAUUAGGUCUGGCCGUUCUCCCCUGUCAAAAGAAUGAUUCUAAAUUCGCAAUAGGGG
rnacentral:lncRNA from 1 species